UACAGAGGGUGCAAGCGUUAAUCGGAAUUACUGGGCGUAAAGCGUGCGCAGACGGUUGCGUAAGUCAGAUGUGAAAGCCCCGGGCUCAACCUGGGAAUUGCAUUUGAGACUGCGUAGCUAGGGUGCGGAAGAGGGAAGCGGAAUUUCCGGUGUAGCGGUGAAAUGCGUAGAUAUCGGAAGGAACACCAGUGGCGAAGGCGGCCACCUGGCUCGGGUACUGACGCUCAGGUUCGAAAGCGUGGGGAGCAAACAGG
rnacentral:rRNA from 1 species